AACAAACGCUGGCGGCGUGCAUAACACAUGCAAGUCUAACGGGAAUGUCGGCUUCGGCUGGCUAGUACCGUGGCGAACGGGUGAGUAACACGUGGGUAAUCUAACCUCGAGUUUGGGAUAACCUUGCGAAAGCGGGGCUAAUACCGAAUAAGACCACGCUCAGUUCGCUGGGUGCGGUAAAAGGUGGCCUCUUCAUGAAAGCUAUCACUUGAGGAUGAGCCCGCGGCCUAUUAGCUAGUUGGUGGGGUAAUGGCCUACCAAGGCGACGAUGGGGAGGCGGCCUGGGAGGGUGGACGGCCAGACUGGCACUGGGAUACGGGCCAGACUCCUACGGGAGGCAGCAGUGGGGAAUUUUGCGCAAUGGGGGAAACCCUGACGCAGCAACGCCGCGUGAGUGAUGAAGGCCUUCGGGUCGUAAAGCUCUUUUAGUGGGGAAGAAUCCCUUACGGGUUAAUACCUCGUGAGGAUGACGGUACCCACAGAAAAAGUUCCGGCUAACUACGUGCCAGCCGCCGCCGUAAUAC
rnacentral:rRNA from 1 species